GUGCCCGUAGCUCAACUGGAUAGAGCGCUUGGCUACGGACCAAGAGGCUGAGGGUUCAAGUCCUUCCGGGCAUACAA
rnacentral:tRNA from 2 species